rnacentral:rRNA from 1 species
UUCCUGGGUGCGAUCAUACCAGCACUAA